AACCAUAAGUGGUUGAAAACACUUGGUGUUGUUUUUUUCCCCCCUAAUGUUCAAAAUUAAUGUCUAUGAUGCACAUGUAAUCAGGGUAAUGCAGGUGACAGUAAGCAGGUGGCAUGGGUGUCAUUGCCACAGUCUCUCUCCAGAAAUGAGUUGCUGAUUAUGCUGCCAGUCUCUCCAUGGGGUGCAGGACUGAGGAGGGCCCUGACCGCACUGAAGCCCAUCGAUGCUCCCCCAGAAGCUGUGAUGAUCACUGCCUACCAACUUCUGCUGUCUUGCAGGGGAGCUCAAGGGGUACUUGUAAUUUUGGACAAGGCACAUUGGAUCCCAAUGUAUCUGUAUGAGUACAGCUAAAGACUGUGGAUAAGAAUAUGUGGGAAUAUGUUUGGUGUUUCUAUUUCCUGAGAUUACUACCACAUAAGCUAAAAAUGGCCAGAAGCCCUGAAACUGCCAUUCUAAAAUAACCCAUUGAAAGUGAACCAUACUUACAGCCAGGGUGAUGUAAUUUCAAACCUGAACGUGGUCCAGGUAGUGCUAGAUAGCAUUACAGAAAAAUGUUUGUCUUGGUUCACCAGGGCCAUGCACCAGGAAAAAUACCUAUGCAAAAAUAAUGUAUCCAAGGACUGCAAUGGGAGCAGGGACAUCGAACCAUGACACACACCCCUCAGGCUGCCAGAUUCAACAACCGUGCUUUAGAUUUCAGGGGGCAGAAGAGAACUGGCCUUUUAUCACUUUUUGGGACUAAGGAUUUUUCCUACUUCUUUUUAAGGUUUUCUCUUGAUAGUGACAGCACUGGAGACAUCUUGUCCUUAUCGAAGUUGCAGAAUAGAAAAGAAUGAAGCCACAUAGUCUGUAUUUGACUGAAAAUGUCUAGAUGACCAGUAACCCCUCUUUCUGUGUCCUGCUCCCUGUAAUUGUGGCAUUGACAUGAAAUGGGCUAUUGAAAAGGUCAAGUCUUCAGUGAGGGUUGGAAGGAAACAUCCCUGCAGGUAUGACACCUGCUGCCACUGGGAAAUGUGUUAGGUGUAACUUUCAAAUGCCUUGAUUUAGGCCUCACAUUUUCAAAGCUAAAUUUGACGGUCAGUCCCUGGACUCACGAAAGUUCUGUGACUGCUGGUUACAAUGCUUUGUACUACAUGUAAUGACUUGGUGAGUUCAUUUUCAGAGGUUUGAAAGGUAGACCUGAGUCUGGCAAGUAAGUACUUCUCUUCUGAGACCAUUUUAAGAGCUACUGUUAUUAACAGUGAUCACAUAAGUAAAAAAAAAAAAAAAAAAAAGAUCUAGGAAAUAAAUAGCACUUUACUGUUGGACUUUAGCGGUGGGCUAAUUUUCUGGAAUUAUUAUUACUUUAUAAAGCAGUUGUGCUUCAGAUUUCAUUGCUCAUGUAAGUUCAGGAUAUUUUGCAAGUGGAGCGUUUUUGGUCCCAUGUCCCCAGAAGCAGCAGAGCAGGGUCACCAUAAGACUGCAGCCAUUUCUGUCCCCUGCAGAGCAGCCUGGUUGGGUCUGUGCUACAUAAGCAAAAUAAGACCAUGUCAUGGAAUUCAGGAAAGGGUAAAUUAUCAUCCUUCCUGGUGAAUUAUUUAAUGUGUUUUUGGUCUGUGCUAGCUGGUCCUCCCCAAAACAGCAUUUGGGCCCAAUUCAACCACUUACAUGGGCCAAGGACUGUUUCCAGUAAGACAACAGAUUCUGUGGUGGUGGAUUAACUGGCUGGAUGUGAACUGACCUAUACCCCUUUGUCUCUGGGACUGUGAAAUGAGGACUGUCCGGUUUUAUUUACUGUUACAGGCACUGGUUAUUUGCUCUUUCCCAGGAAUUCUAGACUUGAUUUACUUCAUUCACAUGCCUGUAUCUGUUUUGAAACUCUCUAGCAUGCACUAGGGACAGGCAACAGUCCAAAGGGUCACUGUUCAGGGCCAGAGAAACGUUCCAGUUUUUGAAGUAUAAAUGAAACUUGAAAGCACUGUUUCAGUCAUCAGGUAUCUCUAAAUGGGGCUGGGAAAUUUUAAGAAACUAAGUAUUGGCUGAAACUUCAAGCAAUACUCUAUAUGUUACUUCAAGCUCUCUUAAGUUAAACCUGCACAGUACAAUACUUGACAGUAUCAGAUGAUUUAUGAUGAUUAUCUCAUAUCCUUGUUUUAGUUUGCUAGGGAAUAACUUCCUAAUAAGUACAUGUGAAAUCCCAGGUUAUUUUGUUAGCAUCUGUGAAUACAUUUUUGUUUUGUCUGUGAAAUUCUCUGAGAGUUACCAUGUCAACAUUUGUUGUGCAAUGCUUUCAUUUACUGUGUAACAGGGUGAGAACAGCAGUGGGUUUUCCUGUAAAUGUGAAAUUUUUCUUGGCUAACACAAUGUUCAGAGGCUUGCCAAGAAAAAGCUGGGCAGUGGCUCCAUGCCUUACUGGCUUGAUGGGUAUGCUUGGGGGUGCAUGCAGGUGUGUGUCUGUACACAUGUGCAAAGAAACAAAUUUGCUGGAGGGACUGAAAAUGCUUUAUCACUGGCCAACACCACCACAUGCUCCCAUCACCAAUACAGCCAUGGUUGUUGCAGUCCUCGUUUAGGCUGCAACUAGCUUGCAUAUGUGAGCACGUACAACAGAGAGGCUUCACCAAAGAUGUAAUCAUUCUUGUCCCUGUAGGUACAAACUCAAUGUCAGCACUUCGAUUUACUUUUUAGCCUUAUGAUACAUGCCCUCUCUUUCUAAAAUCAACAAGAAUUGUAAAUACUGAGACACUUGAGUGGAGCAGCAAAGCAGCACAAGCAGUCAGUCCUUGCUGGAGAUAGCUGUGGCUGGCACUCCUGGUCUUGGCUUUGUAUUUGGGCCAUCUCUUCUCAGCCUUGUUCAGCUGGCUGAAGUCUCAAAGCACUGCCCUGUGCUCAAGUUAAUCCAUCCUGAUCUACCCAGGGCUUAUUAGCUCAGCCAUUGUAUUGCCCUACUGCAGCUACAUGGUCCCCAGAUCAGGCUAUGCUGUGUCUGGACAGCUUAAAGAGCAGGGAGAGUAGAUAUGAAUAGCCUAAGGCCAUCUUUGGGACUUACGAGGAUUUUGUCAUCUUGCCAGUGUUCCAAGGAUUAGAAGCAGUCUGACUGCAUCUUGGUGGGAGCAUCAUGCAGAAAGACAGUAUUUGUGUGCUGGGAACAAUGAUCAAGUGGAGCUGAAAUUAUGCCUUCACCUUCUGUCAUCCAACCAAAUUCCAUCACUGCCAAAACCCACUGACAGCUCUGACAAGGCAGGUGAAGCUACCUCAGGCAGCAACCGGCUGAUAAGGAGAGGACAGAUAUGAAAUGCAGGAAGCAUGCCUAGCCUUCUACAACAGUGGCUGUUGUCCCCAAGCAAUGGCCUCCCCAGGGAUACAAGAACAUCUGGGACCUUGGGUGAAGAUGCAACUGGCCUGAAGCAGAAAGCUGCUUGGAUGCCUGUAUGUCGCUGAUCAGCAUCUUAGAGGUGCUCAAAAGAAAGCCUCACCUGCCUUCCACAGCAGGAAAAGAUGACUCAGAUAGAGCUGCUUUAUGCUAUCGCCCAUUUCCCUCUCUGCCAGUGCCCGCCAGUAUCAACCCAGAGCUUAAACAGAGUUAUCAUGAAAUUAAAGCAGUGUUUUCCCGUUACUUCCAGUUCCUGGAGAUUUACUUUGUCUCAGCUGUGUAACUGUCAGAUGAGCAAAAGGAGUCAUGCAGCCCUGUCCUCUCCUGUGAGAGGCUGUGGUGCACUGAACAACUUCCAGAUAGGAAAGCCGUAUCUCUGAGGUGCAGGUCACAUGGCAGUGGUGCUACACAUGUGCGUAAAGUGAAGCAUAUUGGCAUGGCAGAAUAGGCAGCAUACAUCCCAGGCAAUCUUUUAAAAUAUUGUUAGUGACAAUACUUGGUAGCAAUAGGGGAGCGGGAAGCAAAACCCUGUAAGGAAACCUCACAAGAAAUGUCUUAAGGCAUCUUGUUGCAACAGCCCAUUAAAAAACAAACAAACAAACAAACA